ACGCUCGACACCUACGGGAGGUAGCAGUGGGGAAUAUUGCACAAUGGGGGAAACCCUGAUGCAGCGACGCCGCGUGAGUGAAGAAGUAUUUCGGUAUGUAAAGCUCUAUCAGCAGGGAAGAAAAUGACGGUACCUGACUAAGAAGCCCCGGCUAACUACGUGCCAGUAGCCGCGGUAAUCUGAGCGGGCUGGCAAGGC
rnacentral:rRNA from 1 species